rnacentral:rRNA from 1 species
UACGAAGGGGGCUAGCGUUGUUCGGAAUUACUGGGCGUAAAGCGCACGUAGGCGGAUAUUUAAGUCAGGGGUGAAAUCCCAGAGCUCAACUCUGGAACUGCCUUUGAUACUGGGUAUCUUGAGUAUGGAAGAGGUUAGUGGAAUUGCGAGUGUAGAGGUGAAAUUCGUAGAUAUUCGCAGGAACACCAGUGGCGAAGGCGGCUAACUGGUCCAUAACUGACGCUGAGGUGGCG